GUCUACGGCCAUGCCACCCUGAACGUGCCCGAUCUCAUCUGAUCUCGGAAGCUAAGCAAGGUCGGGACUGGUUAGUACUUGGAUGGGAGACCACCUAGGAAUACCGGGUGCUGUAGGCA
rfam:Pteropus alecto contig48500, whole genome shotgun sequence.